UACGUAGGGGGCAAGCGUUGUCCGGAAUCAUUGGGCGUAAAGCGCGUGUAGGCGGCUUGGUAAGUCUGCUCUGAAAGCCCGGGGCUCAACCCCGGGAGGCGGGUGGAUACUGUCAAGCUCGAGUCCGGAAGAGGAGUGUGGAAUUCCUGGUGUAGCGUUGGAAUGCGCAGAUAUCAGGAGGAACACCGGUGGCGAAGGCGGGUCUCUGGGCAGUAACUGACGCUGAGGAGCGAAAGCGUGGGGAGCGAACAGG
rnacentral:rRNA from 1 species